GGAUCCUACGGGGGGCAGCAGUCGAGAAUCAUUCACAAUGGGGGAAACCCUGAUGGAGCGACGCCGCGUGGGGGAAUGAAGGUCUUCGGAUUGUAAACCCCUGUCAUGUGGGAGCAAAUUAAAAAGAUAGUACAAGAAGAGGAAGAGACGGAUAACUCUGUGCCAGCAGCCGCGGUAAUAAAGAGGUCUGAAGCGUUGUUCGGAAUCACUGGGCGUAAAGCGGGCGUAGGCUGU
rnacentral:rRNA from 1 species